rnacentral:rRNA from 1 species
UACGAAAGAUUCGAGCGUUAUCCGGAUUUAUCGGGUUUAAAGGGUGCGCAGGUGGAUUAAUAAGUCAGUGGUGAAAGCCCGGAGCUCAACUCUGGAACUGCCAUUGAUACUGUUAGUCUUGAGUACAGUUGAGGUGGGCGGAAUGUGUCACGUAGCGGUGAAAUGCUUAGAUAUGACACAGAACACCGAUUGCGAAGGCAGCUCACUAAGCUGUAACUGACACUGAGGCACGAAAGUGUGGGUAGCAAACAGG